GAUGAACGCUGGCGGCGUGCCUAACACAUGCAAGUCGAGCGAACCCUUCGGGGUGAGCGGCGGACGGGUGAGUAACGCGUGGGUAACCUGCCCUGUACACACGGAUAACAUACCGAAAGGUAUGCUAAUACGGGAUAAUAUGUUUCGAUCGCAUGGUCGAGACAUCAAAGCUCCGGCGGUACAGGAUGGACCCGCGUCUGAUUAGCUAGUUGGUGAGGUAAUGGCUCACCAAGGCGACGAUCAGUAGCCGACCUGAGAGGGUGAUCGGCCACAUUGGAACUGAGGCACGGUCCAA
rnacentral:rRNA from 1 species